rnacentral:rRNA from 1 species
GAUGAACGCUGGCGGCGUGCCUAAUACAUGCAAGUCGAGCGAACGGACGAGAAGCUUGCUUCUCUGAUGUUAGCGGCGGACGGGUGAGUAACACGUGGAUAACCUACCUAUAAGACUGGGAUAACUUCGGGAAACCGGAGCUAAUACCGGAUGAUAUUUUGAACCGCAUGGUUCAAAAGUGAAAGACGGUCUUGCUGUCACUUAUAGAUGGAUCCGCGCUGCAUUAGCUAGUUGGUAAGGUAACGGCUUACCAAGGCAACGAUGCAUAGCCGACCUGAGAGGGUGAUCGGCCACACUGGAGCUGAGACACCGUCCAGACUCCUACGGGAGGCAGCAGUAGGGAAUCUCCCGCAAUGGGCGAAAGCCUGACGGAGCAACGCCGCGUGAGUGAUGAAGGUCUUCGGAUCGUAAAACUCUGUUAUUAGGGAAGAACAUAUGUGUAAGUAACUGUGCACAUCUUGACGGUACCUAAUCAGAAAGCCACGGCUAACUACGUG